rnacentral:rRNA from 1 species
GCAGCCGCCGCGGUAAGACGGAGGGGGCUAGCGUUGUUCGGAAUUACUGGGCGUAAAGAGCGCGUAGGUGGUUUAUCAAGUUGGAAGUGAAAUCCCAAGGCUCAACCUUGGAACUGCUUUCAAAACUGUUAGGCUAGAGUACGGUAGAGGGUGAUGGAAUUCCUAGUGGAGAGGUGAAAUUCGUAGAUAUUAGGAGGAACACCAGAGGCGAAAGCGAUCACCUGGGCCGUCACUGACACUAAUGCGCGAAAGCGUGGGGAGCAAACAGGAUUAGAUACCCCGGUAGUCCCUGUCUCUUAUAC